rnacentral:rRNA from 1 species
GGGAAUCUUCCACAAUGGACGMAAGYCUGAUGGAGCAACGCCGCGUGAGUGAAGAAGGGUUUCGGCUCGUAAAGACUCUGUUGU